rnacentral:rRNA from 1 species
UACGGAGGAUGCAAGCGUUAUCCGGAAUGAUUGGGCGUAAAGCGUCCGCAGGUGGCUAUGUAAGUCUGCUGUUAAAUAGUGAGGCUCAACCUCAUAACGGCAGUGGAAACUACACGGCUAGAGUGCGUUCGGGGCAGAGGGAAUUCCUGGUGUAGCGGUGAAAUGCGUAGAGAUCAGGAAGAACACCGGUGGCGAAAGCGCUCUGCUAGGCCGCAACUGACACUGAGGGACGAAAGCUAGGGGAGCGAAUGGG